UACAGAGGUCCCAAGCGUUGUUCGGAUUCACUGGGCGUAAAGGGUGCGUAGGCGGCCGUGCAAGUCUGGCGUGAAAGCCCCGGGCUCAGCCCGGGAAGUGCGCUCGAAACUGCGCGGCUCGAGUGCCGGAGGGGAGAGUGGAAUUCCUGGUGUAGCGGUGAAAUGCGUAGAUAUCAGGAGGAAUACCGGUGGCGAAAGCGACUCUCUGGACGGCAACUGACGCUGAGGCACGAAAGCGUGGGGAGCAAACAGG
rnacentral:rRNA from 1 species